GAUGAACGCUGGCGGCGUGCCUAAUACAUGCAAGUCGAGCGAACGGACGAGAAGCUUGCUUCUCUGAUGUUAGCGGCGGACGGGCGAGUAACACGUGGAUAACCUACCUAUAAGACUGGGAUAACUUCGGGAAACCGGAGCUAAUACCGGAUAAUAUUUUGAACCGCAUGGUUCAAAAGUGAAAGACGGUCUUGCUGUCACUUAUAGAUGGAUCCGCGCUGCAUUAGCUAGUUGGUAAGGUAACGGCUUACCAAGGCAACGAUGCAUAGCCGACCUGAGAGGGUGAUCGGCCACACUGGAACUGAGACACGGUCCAGACUCCUACGGGAGGCAGCAGUAGGGAAUCUUCCGCAAUGGGCGAAAGCCUGACGGAGCAACGCCGCGUGAGUGAUGAAGGUCUUCGGAUCGUAAAACUCUGUUAUUAGGGAAGAACAUAUGUGUAAGUAACUGUGCACAUCUUGACGGUACCUAAUCAGAAAGCCACGGCUAACUACGUGCCAGCAGCCGCGGUAAUACGUAGGUGGCAAGCGUUAUCCGGAAUUAUUGGGCGUAAAGCGCGCGUAGGCGGUUUUUUAAGUCUGAUGUGAAAGCCCACGGCUCAACCGGGGAGGGUCAUUGGAAACUGGAAAACUUGAGUGCAGAAGAGGAAAGUGGAAUUCCAUGUGUAGCGGUGAAAUGCGCAGAGAUAUGGAGGAACACCAGUGGCGAAGGCGACUUUCUGGUCUGUAACUGACGCUGAUGUGCGAAAGCGUGGGGAUCAAACAGGAUUAGAUACCCUGGUAGUCCACGCCGUAAACGAUGAGUGCUAAGUGUUAGGGGGUUUCCGCCCCUUAGUGCUGCAGCUAACGCAUUAAGCACUCCGCCUGGGGAGUACGACCGCAAGGUUGAAACUCAAAGGAAUUGACGGGGACCCGCACAAGCGGUGGAGCAUGUGGUUUAAUUCGAAGCAACGCGAAGAACCUUACCAAAUCUUGACAUCCUUUGACAACUCUAGAGAUAGAGCCUUCCCCUUCGGGGGACAAAGUGACAGGUGGUGCAUGGUUGUCGUCAGCUCGUGUCGUGAGAUGUUGGGUUAAGUCCCGCAACGAGCGCAACCCUUAAGCUUAGUUGCCAUCAUUAAGUUGGGCACUCUAAGUUGACUGCCGGUGACAAACCGGAGGAAGGUGGGGAUGACGUCAAAUCAUCAUGCCCCUUAUGAUUUGGGCUACACACGUGCUACAAUGGACAAUACAAAGGGCAGCGAAACCGCGAGGUCAAGCAAAUCCCAUAAAGUUGUUCUCAGUUCGGAUUGUAGUCUGCAACUCGACUACAUGAAGCUGGAAUCGCUAGUAAUCGUAGAUCAGCAUGCUACGGUGAAUACGUUCCCGGGUCU
rnacentral:rRNA from 1 species